AGAGUUUGAUCAUGGCUCAGGAUGAACGCUGGCGGCGUGCCUAAUACAUGCAAGUCGAACGGACACCUUCGGGUGUUAGUGGCGAACGGGUGAGUAACACGUAGGUAAUCUACCUUAUAGACGGGGAUAACGGUUGGAAACGACCGCUAAUACCGGAUAGUAUAUCAAACCGCAUGAUUUGAUAUUUAAAGCUGGGUUGCAGCACUAUGAGAUGAGCCUGCGGCGCAUUAGUUAGUUGGCGGGAUAAAGCCCACCAAGACGAUGAUGCGUAGCCGGACUGAGAGGUUGAACGGCCACAGUUGGGACUGAGAACGGCCCAGACUCCUACGGGAGGCAGCAGGUAGGGUAAUUUUCGGCAAGUGGGGGAAACCCUGACCGAGCAACGCCGCCGUGAUUGAAGAAGUAUUUCGGUAUGUAAAAAUCUUUUUAGAGGACGAACGGCUAUACUAGGGAAUGAGUAUAGAUUGACGGUACUUUAAGAAUAAGCCCCGGCUAACUACGUGCCAGCAGCCGC
rnacentral:rRNA from 1 species